AGAAUGUUAGUCGCGCGUCUCCUAGCCGUGAUGGAGAAGCGGCACACAGCUCAGUAGCACGUGGCUAACCUACCCUUGGGACGGGAACAUCCCCGGGAAACUGGGGCUAAUUCCCGAUAGGUGAAGAAUUCUGGAAUGGAUUUUCGCCCAAAAGACGCUUAGACCAUGCUUCUAAGCAUUGCCCAAGGAUGGGGCUGCGGCCGAUCAGGUUGUUGGUGAGGUAACGGCUCACCAAGCCUAUAACCGGUGCGGGCCGUGGGAGCGGUAGCCCGGAGAUGGGAACUGAGACAAGGUCCCAGGCCCUACGGGGCGCAGCAGUCGCGAAAACUUCGCAAUACGCGAAAGCGUGACGGGGCUAUCCCGAGUGCCAUUCGCUGAGGGUGGCUUUUCCUCAGUGUAGAUAGCUGAGGGAAUAAGGAGAGGGCAAGUCUGGUGUCAGCCGCCGCGGUAAUACCAGCUCUCCGAGUGGUGUGGACAUUUAUUGGGCCUAAAGCAUCCGUAGCCUGCUGAGCAAGUCCUCGGUUAAACCCAACGAUCCAAUCGUUGGACUGCGGGGGAUACUGCUCAGCUUGGAGGCGGGAGAGGUCGUCGGUAUUCCCGGGGUAGGGGUGAAAUCCUAUAAUCCCGGGAGGACCACCAGUGGCGAAGGCUGUCGGCUAGGACGCGCUCGACGGUGAGGGAUGAAAGCUGGGGGAGCGAACCGGAUUAGAUACCCGGGUAGUCCCAGCUGUAAACGAUGCAGGCUAGGUGUUGGAGCGGCUACGUGCCACUCUAGUGCCGCAGGGAAGCUGUUAAGCCUGCCGCCUGGGAAGUACGGUCGCAAGGCUGAAACUUGAAGGAAUUGGCGGGGGAGCACCACAAGGGGUG
rnacentral:rRNA from 1 species